GGCUCAGGCCACAUCACACAACUGUGGUCUCUUCAUCACAAAGGGCUCCUGCCAGGGUAGAGGGUGCCACUCUCCCUCCCCAGCGUCCAUGCCAGAGUUACCUGCUGUGUCUUUUCCCUUUCCCUUCUUCCUAACCCUUUUGCUGUAUCAGGAACAAAUAGACCUCUGUCCAUAUUUUGUUCCUUCAUUCUGAGCACAAGUAUUUCUUGGUGUAGGCAUAUAUUUUGCUCAACCUACUUUUAUAAGAUUUCACCCUCCCUUCUUACCCUCCACCCACCAAUGAAAGAGGAAUGUUAUUAGGAUAUGGGGGACAGGGAGCUGAUUGGAAAUAGUGCUUUUGGGACAUUCCAAUCUUCCUUGUACACAGUCCAGUUCCCUAGUAAACAACAAACAUGAAUUAGCAGCUUCAGUCCCCUCUACUCACAGAUACCACACAUGAGUCAACAGGUUUAGUUCUAUUCAGAAGAAUCCGGGGGUAUCACAAAUGGGAUCCAAGUCUAAUGACAGAGCAAGAAUCCUCCAGGUUCUUAGGUGAGUCUUCUCAGAAGGAUCCACAGGAGGCAUUCAGCAAUGCAAUGUAAGGCAGACCAAAGUCAGAGAUCCCAUUGUCUCUAGGGUCAUAUUAAUGUUCCUUCUAAACAUCACGUGUCCUUUCAUGGGUUUAGUAUAGAAAAACAACCUUUUACCUGUGUUUGGUUUACCCAAAUACUCUUUCAUGUAUCUGCUGAAGCAAAGCAUUCUUCAUGGUCAGCCCCAGCAAAACAUUAUCACCUUCCUGGAUCUCUGAAGAAACCAAAACUUUACACUUUACCUUUUCUUCUGGAAGGAUAUCUCCCUGAGUCCUUCAGGUUCUUGGUUUUUAAGAAAAUGCACUUCUCUGUGGAACUUGUGUUUUUCUCUUAGGGAUUCUUUUUGGGGUUCUGCUUUUCUGUAGACUAAUAUUUGUCCAUUAUGUGAUCACAGCUCAACUCCUGUCAGACACUAAACUUCCAUUUUCUCCUAUUUUUACCUUUGUCAUUAUUCAAUUUAAUCGAAUACAAUGUAGCUUGAUAAUCUUCAGGUAUAGAAUACCUAGGAUAAUGAAAUUCAUGUCAUAAUCAUAAGAAUGCAUGUGGGUAUGAACAACAGUGCCAACCAACCAGAGCUUCCAGGGACUAAGCCACUACCCAAAGACUAUACAUGGACUGACCCUGGGCUCCAACCUCAUAGGUAGCAAUGAAUAUCCUAGGAAGAGCAGCAGUGGAAGGGGAAGCCCUUGGUCCUGCGGAGGCUGGACCCCCCAGUGAAUGGGACUCUUGGGGGAAGGGCAGUAAUGGGGGGAGGAUGGGGAAGGGAACACCAUAUAGAAGGGGAGAUGGAGGGCUUAGGGGGUUGUUGGCCUGGAAACCAGGAAAGGGAAUAACAUUUGAAAUGUAAGUAAUAAAUAUCCAAUUUAAUAAAGAUGGGAAAAAAGAUUGAAUGUGGGAAAAUCAGAACUAAAAUUUCUAUCAUAGGAGUGCCUAGUAAUGUUUUGCUUCUUUUCUUUAAACGUGCAAUCUUUUAAGUUAGCAAACUCUAAUAGCACCUUUGAUGGGUAAUAUUACGUAUUUUAACUGCCCAAUCAAUUGUCUUGUUGUUGAGAGUAGAACCACAAUCAACAUGGAUGUGCAGGUAUCUCCUUGUCAGGGUGUAGGUCACAUCCUUUGAGUCCAUUCUCAGAAACGGUAUCCCCGAGCCUGUGGCACUUCUGAUUUUAGGAACUUCUGUCGUUGUAAAAAUAUAAAGAUAAAAAAAGGUUCGGUGUCUUUUAUCCCACUUGGUCCAUACCACGAUGCCCCCAGAUAUAUGCUAGAUAUCUUGGCAGAAACACAUCCCAUCUCCUCAGCCACCAAGAGUCUUUUGCCGCCACACACUUUCCUACACUCAAACCGUCACAUAAAAGACAACAACCUUUGACCGAAUGGUAACAUAUGAUUGCCCACUUUAACAUACAAAGCCCGGUACCAUCCAUCCCUUGAGAACAUUAAUAAGAACCUGUAAAUCCACAGACCGAGGUCUUCACAUCAGCAUCCAUUGUCCUGCCACCACUUGUUUCUCUCUCUCCCUCCUGCCUCUUCCUUUCUGUUCUCGUCUCCUCCUCUUCCUCCAAACUUCUCUGCAGCCCAUCUUUCCUUCUCCUCCAAUGACAGGACUCCUUCUAUCCUGUAACUGCCCCUCACAUGUGCUUUACAAAUUCAAUGGCGAGAAGGUUCUGGUGAAGUCACCUGAUUCCUGAGUGUGUGACUAGGCAGCUGUCCUUGGGGCAGUGGAAUUAGCAUGAAAAUACAGAUAACUCAGGGCAAACCACAACAAACUUCUAUACUGAUUUCUUUCACUAGUAUUGUGUGAGGUUCAGUGUGUAUUUUGGUCAAGUUUCCUUUACAACAGUGGGUGAGCACAUGGGCACCCUCACCUGUAAGAGGUGCUGUGUGCCUGUACUGUGUUUGGAGAUGGUGUAAGUGAUCAGCAGUAGCUGUGUCUUAGUACAAAAGCAAAAUAACAGAGAUGGGGCAUAGAGAGUGAAGACUCUGUAUCCAUCACAGGCAUGAAGAGUACGCACAUACUUUGUAAGGCACCAUCUUCCCUGAACACAGAAGCAUGUGAUGUCAUCCAGUGGUAGGUGGUACAGUCUGACCUUGAGCAUGCUCAGUGAAGGACGUCCUUGUCAUCCUGAGUUUUCUCAGCUUAAGGCCGUGGCACCGAAGCACAGAGAUUUCUGGUAUGGGGCAGAUGUUGAGAGUUGUUCUAGCAGGAAAAGCACCCCCUCUGUAACCUCACAACCCCAAUAGGCCGCAGAUUCAAAUGAUAAAAGAAGAGCACUGAUACCUCAAGUUGUCUCAACAGUCACACAUGUGCCCACAAGUUACACUAAAACACACACACACUCACACACACACAGACACACACACACAGACAGACACACAUACACACACACACAGUCACACACACACACACACACACACUCACAGUCACACACACACACAGAAAGACAUACACACCACACACACACAGACAUACACACACACAUACACACAGACAGACAUAUACACACACAGUCACACUCACACACACACAUUUGACACGUAUUCUCUGCUCUGACAGAAGUCAGUCUGAGACUGGAGACUGUGAUGGUCUGGAGAUGCAGCACUCAGAGCCCCUGGCUAAGAGUUAGACCUGUUAGAUGGUCUUUCUUCAGAGUUUGUAGGCUCCACUCUCCCUGGGAAGGAGUUGUAUAUAUGGAUCUUGCUUGGUUCCCAAAACAUGAGCAGCAAACCUACCCAAUGCUGAAUUGGAUUACCUGUGUGAACUCAGGCUUAUAAGCAGGUCUCAGAGAAUCCUGGGUACAUAGUGACAGUCCCUGAUUCUUCAACAGUGCACACACAUUACCUCUACUGUGAGGCUAGGCCUAAGGGUCAUACAGGAAGAGACAGCAGCCUGAAGUGAGCUCCAGGUGCAUCCAAGAACAGGAAUGAAAUGUUUAUGCACUUUCCUUGUUAUUGUCAUUGCAUCUUGGAUAUUGAAAUAUGUGAUGUGUGUGAUUCUUGGGGGUGUGUGAGUAUGAAUGUUCAUAUGUGUCUGAGUGUCUUUGUGGCUGUGUGUGUGUGUCUGUCUGUGUGUGUGUGUGUGUGUGUGUGUGUGUGUGUGUGUCUGUGCAUGAGUGUGCGUGUGUUGAGCAUUUUGCUACUAUCUAACACUCUUCUUAGAGAAAAAUGUAUCUGCCAUCUUCAGUGACCCUGGUGUUAAGGCGUUGUGGCCAGCUCUUUCCAUAAAGUUUUGUUUUAAUUUUGUCCUCUUAUUCCUCCUCUUCGUUCUCCUCCUGUUACCUCCUCCACUCCCUCCUCCUCAUCUUCUUCUUCUUUUAUUCUUCCUUCUCCUGGAGUUCUAAGCACUAACCAGUGCUCUUCUACAAGCCAUAGACCCCUAUUUAGAUAGAAAAUUAAAAUUGCAUGUGAAGUAUGGAAGCCAGUGCUAUAUUUCCAGUUAGAAAUGUGACCAACUUAUCACUAUGAUUAUUAAAUUUGCAGGGUUUUCACACGCUCAUUGUAAAUGAUAACCAUUGCUUGAUGAUAUCCUUUUAAUAAUCAUAUAAGUAUAUUUAAUGGAUAUUGUAUGCAUGGUGUUGAGUCUACCCACAGCCAUCACCAUAUGGAGGCUCCACUUUAUGGGUCACUAUCCUCCCAGUGCUCUCUCUUAGACUUUGAAAAAUCUAGGCUGACAUGCCAUGGGUGACAGGCAGGAGCUGUGCCACUGAGUCAUCCUCUGUACCUCAGAUAAGAGUACUUAGUCAUCGUCAGUGUUUUUAUAUGCUGGAACAAGGACAUUUAUUCAAAGACGGGGCUUCAUGUGUCACAGACUGACCUAAACUCUACAGUAUUGGAAGAUGACUUCAAAAACUUGGACGUCGGAUCCUCCUGUCUCCUCUGGGAGCUGGGAUCACAGGCUUGUGCCACAAGCAUGGCAUGUGUGGUGCACAGAAUGGAAUACAGUGGCUCCAAACUCUCGCUUCAUCCUGUUGAGGACUGUCAAAGCUUAGCUUUUUAUCAUCAAUCACCUGCCUGCUGAGGUCCUCAUCUCUGGAACAAUUGAAAAACUCACGUUUAUUGGCCAGUGGUAUCUGUUGUUAAUAGCUCUCCCCAGCCCUGAAUAUCUGACCACAUGAGAGGUGAAGGCAGGAUGAUUAUGAGUUCAAGGCCAGCUUCAGCCAUAUAGCAAAAUAGAGGCCAGCUUGGUCUAUAUUAAAUCCUUCUUGAACAAAACCAUAUAGACACCAAGGUGUAACCACUCUGAAAAUCAGUAUGGAGAACUCUCCGGAAGCAGAGAACACAGGCAGAUGUGACAAAGCCAUACCACCCACUGAUUUACUCCCAAAAGAAUGGGCAUCCUACUUCCCUGAGUCUUUCCCUGGCAAGUGCAUUGUGCCCUCCCCCCUCUCUAGUGGAAUCACCCCAGAAAACAGGAAAGUACAAAGUGUGUUGGAGGUGGAGGGUAGUGGAGGUGGGAUAGUAAGAUACAGUUGCCUAAAACAGGAAACAGCAAGAAAUAUGAAAGGGAUUGUGACAGUUUCUGGGGACGAGCGAGGGAGGGAUAGAAACACCAAGAGAGAAUGGCAUCAAGGAUGAUAGGAAAAGCCAGAGGAACAUUAUUUUCUGUUUAUGUAAAGAUACAUAAAGGACUAUGGGGACACACAGACAGCACCCAUCCCUGCACACUGCACACACAUUCUGAACACUCCCAGAUUUCAUGGUCCUCAUUUCUGUUCAGUGUGCAGGAUUCAGGCCAUGUGCUCCUAAUAGCAUCCCGCCUCCACGUUGGCCAAAACAACAGAAUACCUGAGAUUUUCAGCAAACUCCCUCUGCAUGAGGUUUCAGUAUUUAAGAGUGAAGAUGAAUUUUGUGUGCUUGAGAGCAAAGAAAUCCCUUUUACCAGAGCAAUGGAGAACCACAGACAGAGGCAGCAGCUUGUCUGCCCAAUGAGUGAGCAUUGGCAUUAGUGACAUCAAUUCUCCAUCCAGCACUCGCUGUCCUCACCUUGAGCAUCCUCCAGGAUAUACAGUGCACUGCAGUUGCAGAGGUAUUGAGGGGAAUUGUGGGACUGCUUGUCACCCAGAUAAGUUGAAGACUUCUCUUGUGCACAGGCAAGUAAUCCUGAUUGACACCACAAUUCUCUGAAUCCUGGUGUGGCUCCAUGACAGUGCGUGGCCCUCUUGAUUUCCAGGUCUUCCAUAAAGAACCAAGUUCUGUUUCCUCAUCUGCAUUAAGCAACCUCUUUUUAGGAAUGUAUUAAAAUGAAUCAGUGAUUUGCUGGUAGGAAGCUUGCAGAGAAGCAGUCUACAGUGGACCCCGAGGAAAGAGGCAGAUUCAAAGAAGAAGCAGAAUCCCCAGGCUGAGUGGAAAGUGGCAAAAUGGCCAACAUCCCAGCUUCUGAGGCGUUGGGGAAAUGUGAGUCUGCACUGCAUGCUCGGCCCUAGUUUUACUCUCCUUCCCACGUUUAACUUUGUGGUGGAUGAAUUUAAAUUUAAGCACUCCCAUGAGGUCAUCCCCUCUGUGGCACUGCCAUAUUUUGGCAACACCUUGGUAAGGAUGCUUGUGGAAGCUCAAUACUGUUUCCCUGAUGGGAUUUCCACAUCUUCCUGACUUGCCACCUCAUUCUGGAAUAUUCCUGCAACUGGAGAAUCUGAGGAAGAAUGUCUUUGCCAGUAUUCUCCUCUGUGCAACCAACAACAGCUGCUCCACUUCUGGGUGUGGGUCUUCCUGGGGUGAGAGACCCCCUUGCCACUGGGUCUAGAUUAACAUGCGCACCGUGAAUCAUACUCAUGGCAGAAUAUGGAGUCUGAAAGCCAAGUCUGGUUUGCAAAUUUUUUUCCUGGGAAGGGGACUUCCUAAUUGAGGGUAGAGCCUUUAAUCAAGGCAACAUCAUCAAGAGAACCUGUCUGUGAAUUUCAGGGCUGUCUACACUCACUGUGGAUGCUCUGAAUAGGUUUUCCCCCUUAGACACUUGUGUUUGAAUGCUUGGCCUACAGGGAGUUACAUUACUAGGAAGUGUGACCUUUCUGGAUUAGGUGGCCUUGUUGGAAGAGGUAUGACACUUUACCAAUUGGCUUUGAGUCCCUCUCCCUACCGGCACCAGUCUUCUCCCGGCUGCCUUCUGAUCCAGACACGAAACUCUCAGCAACUUUUCCAGUACCGUGCCUUCUGGAAGAUGCCUUGCUUCUGGCCUUGAUAAUGGACUGAACCUCUGAAACUGUAAGCCAGCACCCUUGGUCAUUGACACCCCACACAUACACACACAAACACACACACACACACACACACACAUACACACACACACACAGAUCGUGAGACAGAGAGACAGGGAGAGAGCAAGACAGACAGAUUGACAGACAGACAGACAUGCACACACACAAUUUGUAUGUCCAAGUGUAUAUAUAAUCUAAAAAGAGUUUUGCCAAUUUGGUUGAUACUGAUUAUGCCAAGCGCCAUGAUUAAAACAAUCCUGAUGCCUGGGAAAUCUUCCUUUGUGUGACACAUAAGAGUUUGAAGGUUUCCCCAAACAAGAUGGGGUGCCACCAUCGCUCCUCCGUGUGUACCAGAGUUAGAAAGUCAAACACUGUUGUUAUUAUGUAAACACACAAAUGCAAAAAUAAAGAAACAAUGCGAUGGGUAGAGGAUGGGAGAACCUGAGGGCCAUGACUGAAGUAGAUGCAGUUGUCCUGUAUGAAGUGUCAAAAAUAUAUGAAAUCAUUAAACUAGAUAAAACCAAAUUUGAAAGUUUAGAAGAAACAUAAAUGGUGCACAGGACCAUGAGGACUAGUUAGCAAGUGAUUGAAACUAUUUUCCAAAACUAAUUGAGAAAUCCUGAAAACACUUGGGGAAAUUGCUACAGCGGAAAAAAAAAUCUGGAAUAAAAUUAUCCAUCACAAAAGCAUUGCAAAGAAUGAUGGGAAAAGGCAGAGGAAAAGCCAUUUAAUUUUAAGAUAUUUUGAGAGGAAAAUCAAGUAUGAGAAGCCUCGACUAUUUUAUGAUGGAGUUCACUUUGGAGUUCACUAACUAAUGGUGUUAGCACACAGGGAAGCACAGGCAUUAAGGAAGAGCCCCUCUCUGAGGUAAAGGCUGUACACACUCCAGACGUAGACACUGCUUGAAAGAGACUCACUCAUUAUUUUAGACCGUGUGCUUCCUGAAGACAGGAAUUCCUUCAGUCUUGUUGCCCUCUGAACCCAAAGGUGAUCCCUAGUGAAAACUGAUCAUGGACUGAAUACCUAACUGAAGUCCCUUGUGCUAGGGAGGACACACAGCUGGGAGCAAACCCAAAACCUGACCUUAGGAAAUAAAUCAGUAUUUCAGGACCUGGGAAAGGAAGUGCAAUCCUGACUUGUCCUGCUGAGGUAGGAGGUAGGCAGUGGGGUGGGGGAGGUGCACCCUAGCUGUCACAUCUCUGGAAAGGAAGCUCAAAGCAGGCUAAUGACUUUCCUUACCCCUGCUGUAAUACUAUUGCCCACCCUAUGGUCUGAAUGUGAGUCUUCUCACUAGAGAGCAGGAGUCAUGUGAUUUCAAUAUGACCAUUCAGGAGAGUCCUGGUUGGCUAGCCAGUCUGAUUGGCCAAGUUGUGGAAAUGUGACCAAUUAAGUCAUAGUUACAGUUGGUGCAGGGUGGCUGAGACAGUUGGUAACUGGCCUGCUAUCAUUGAGGUUAAGGUUUCACUCUGGGACUCCAGAGGCAGAGACAGUAUGCUGAGGCAGUGUGUGACACCAUGAUUACAGGACAGCGGCUCUUGUCUACUCCUCAAACACCCAGGUACAGCCUGCUCUUCCUAGUCUUGCUAAUGAAGUGGGUCCCUCACCCUGACUUCUCUGCUUGUCAGAUCCACUUUGGUUGGGUUGUAGGCAUGACCCUCUCUUCCCAGCGCCUGGCUAACUGAGGUGUUAAGGCUGCAGGAGUCUAUGACUCUCCUAGGACUCUGUGCUGCCCUCACUGUACAGUCAGUGGUGACUGAGACACCCAAGCCCUGCCCAGGACAUGUCCGUUUGGCCUCGCCAGGGAAGCAGAGCCCUGCUCUCUUUAAUGUCCCCUUUUUAUGUCCAGGAUCCUGCAAAUGUGCACAUUCUGCUUAGGGGAGAAAACACCACAUUUCUCUUCAGCAACUUCUCUUAUCUUGUGUAACAUUAUCCUUAGUUCCACCUAUUUUCUAGAAAAUGACAAAAUGUCAUUUUUUAGAUAUAUUUCUUCUUUACUUACAUUUCAAAGGUUAUUCCCUUUCCUGGUUUCCUGUCCAUAAACCACCAUCUCCUCCCCCUCUCCCAUACGAGUGUCCCCCCAUCCACCCCCGUUAGCAGCCCCCUUCUGCACUGGGGGUCCAACGUGGGCAGGACCAAUGGCUUUACCUUCCAUUGUUGCCCCACAAGUCUAUUCUCUGCUCCAUAUGCUGUUGGUGUCCUGGGUCAGUCUAUGUAUAGACUUUGUGUAGUGGUUUAGUCCUUGGAAGCUCUGGUCGGUUGGCAUUGUUUUUCUUAUGUGGUUGCAAAAUGUCAUUCUUAAAGCUAGGCACUUUCUUCUGUCUCAUAUAUGCUUCGCGUGUUUUUAAUGUAUGGAUCUGUGUAUUUCAAUCUCACCUUUUAUUCCUUAGUAAACUGAUCUUGGUCAUGAAUGUGAGUUUUAAAUGUGUCUGAACUAGUGUGGAGUAACAUGUACUCUCAUUAAGGUUUGUCACAUCUUUUAUAUGAAAACACUGGCAUAGUAUUUAGUUUAUUGUAGUUUUUCUGAAAUCUAGUUUUAUUUUCCCCGUGUAAAUGGUAGGCUAUGCCUUUAGAGGUUUAUUGUAGUUUUAAGUGUAUGUGUGCAUUUGCACACCGUGAAAGUCAAAAGACAAAUGUGGGGCCAGUUCUUUCCUUCUACCGUGUGUGCUUGAGGGAUGAGUCUUGGAUCAUCAUGUCUGGUGGUAAGCAGCACUGGUUUUGGGUACAGGGUAACGUUGGAUUUUUGGAACAUAUUGGAAAGUUUCCCUUUAUUUUCAUUAUAUGGAAUUAUUUUAGGAACAUUGGUGUUCUUUAAAAAUCUAGUAGAAUUCAUUUUGAAUACAUCUGACCUUGGACUUUAUUGUUGAUUUUCUGGUUAUUAAUCUUUUAAAUACAUUGCUUGUUAUUGACCUAUUCAGGCAUUUUAUAUGCAUAUUGAAGUUUGCACAUUUCUCCCUCUCCGUUGAUUGCAAUAUAGGUUUCCUAUUCUUACUCAUAGGUUCUCAGGUCUGUUUUAAUGGUUGUUUUGUUGGAUCUGUUUAUUUAUUUUAUGUAAGUUAGUAUAGUGUUGUUCUCUUUAGACACACCAGCAGAGGACAUUAGAUCCCAUUACACAUGGUUGUGAGCCACCAGAUAAAUUACUGGUAAUUGAACUGAGGACCUCUGGAAGAAUAGUCAAUGCUCUUAACCACUGAGCCAUCUCCACCCUUGUUCUAAUGGUUCUUAGAGCCUAGCAUAUGUACUAGUGUACAACAUUCAUUUGUUUCUCUCAUUUUACUCUGUAUCUUUUAAUUUUGUUAGGUUUGGGAAUGCUGCCUCAGUUUCCUCUCUCCUUUCCAAGGACCAUGCUUUCUUUUUCAUUGUUCAUAAAGGUCUGUUUGGUUAGGUUCAGCUCUCACCUUCAGUGUGUUUUGUCACCUAUUGCUUUGGGGUUUGUUUAUUAUUUUGUUGACAGAGACUCUGUCCUGUGUCUCUCAAAUGAUGAAGGAGAAGAGGCUCAUCUCUGUGGUUGUUGAACCAUGGGAGCAGGGAGUAUCCUGACAAGGACUGAGAGGUUCAGGAAGGAGCCAGGUUCUAGCUUCCUGGGGAUGUGUGUCUGUACACCAUCAGACAGCAAUGAGACUCUGGGUAUGAGUGCGUGUAGGCUUCCUCCAUGGCUGGAAUUUACCUACUAGCUCUACACUCUGUCAGCUCACAGCAGCACCAGCCAUGAUGUCAUGGUCAAACUGGUCAAGCACGGCACCCUAUCCCAGCUCCUGACUUUGUAUUUGCAACAUGUCCUGGAUCUGUGACCACCAGCAGCAGGUGAGUUACCCAUGGGAAAUGGGACCCUUUGGUUCCUUUUGCACAUUUACUAGGCUGAACAGUCAUAUCCUCUCUCUCCCAGCAAAUGGUGCAAUGACCUUUCUGAACAAGAUGUGAAAGUGUUUCCCGCUGAGCCUUGAGAGGUGAACAUACAUUGCGCCUGUCAUCUGGACAGAACAACUUGAGGAAGGGCCAUCCAUAUUCCUGCUCCCUAACCAGGACACUGCUAAGAAACACAAUGCGUGAACCUGCUGCAGGGUGGAGAAGAGACAACUUGAGCCUUUUCCCGCACACUUGUGCACUCCUUCUAGAUGUGAUCUUGGAUGAGCCAUUUCUGGGAACAGAGUGCUCUGCCCUCAGGCAUGUAGGUGGUGCUAGUGAUUGUCUUUCUGCUCUCAGCAUACAUAGGAAUCAGAAGGGUCCUGCCCGUGACUGCUCCUAGGUCCCUGUGUGCAGAGGGCACAGCUGGCACUAGAGCCUGUGCUCAUUCACGAAUCUCUAACAAUAUUCGUCAGAAGGAGAGAGUUCUCAAUCUUCUGAAUUGCAGUGCAGCUCUCAGUCCAUUCCUCUAGUGAACACCAACCAUGAGCAUGCAGCUGCCGUCUGGAGCACGGAGCAGACACCACACAGGAAUCAGGAAGGGCAGUUCAAGCCAGAACAAACAAGUUCAACCAGUAUUCUGUAAGGGUUUUCCUGUUUUGCUGGGCAGGCCUCUGUGACAUGGCCCUCAGUAACCACCUAUGGUACAGACUGCACGUUCUACUAUGGCUCUGGCUCUAGUCACAGAGGAAGGCAGACUGUGGACAGUUACUGACCUAUUGAACAGGCUGUUAUAAGUACUGAUAUGGACUCAGCCUACAUCAAUUGACAGAAAAUUAUAACUGGCUGUAGAAUGAUGUAUUGUGUGACAAAGACACCUCAAAGUGACUGUGCCUUCCCACCUGCCCUGUCUUCUCCAUGAACUGCACUGAGGCAGAAAAAUGCUGCUCCGUCACUAUACGACAGAAUCCACUGUGGUGAAAGGCAGGAGUGUUUACAAGGAAGCAGCUCCUAUCUGGGAAGGAGUCAUGAGUGCAGGAGGAAGAGCUCCGAAAAGAAAACCCUUUCUUUGCAGGGACAAAACCAAGUUUAUUACCAGGAAGCAUGGGGGACACAAUGGAUGGGCAGAUGGGACAUAUUCUUGAAAAAUGAUGGCCAGAGCCUCCUCCUCCUUGCCCUGUCCUGAUGAGGUCUACCUGGUGUGAGAGGCUUGGUGGACAGCAACUGAAGUCUUUAAGCAGUCAUUUCCCCCGUGCUUGAUUGGAAAAUUUUCUAUGGGACUCAGAGAACGGCAACAGCCCGUUCCUUUCUUCGUAGUUUGAUGUGGGAAAAGGGGUUUAUGGACAAUUUCUGGCUGGUGUUUGUUUCUGAUUUCUCUAUAUCCGAAGGAAUGGUUGUGCCCCAUGAAGCUGCUAUGUGGCCAGCAGACCAUUCCAACAUUUGUUGUGAUUUUAUUUGGGUCACAGAAUCUCUGGUGAGCAAGACCUGACUCCUGCUUUUCUCCAAUUCCCCUGUACUCAGAAGGAAAGUCACUUCCCUUGGGGAGAGGGAGCUGGUCAAACCUGAUAUCUGUCUCACCUUGGUUCAGAUCUUGAUCACAGGCUCUUUGGGGUUCGAUCCCUGACUGUAGUUGGACUUCAAUAUCCGUAUAUGUGAAGGGAUAUUUAUUGAUCUCAGGGCUGACAUGGCCACAGCUCAAUCUGUUUACUGUUCUGUUAUGGAUUGUUUCAUGCAGAGUCAUAGAAGAGUGGGAUGAUCGGUACUCUUCAGUGUUUUCUAGGAUCUGGGCCAGAGCAUUCACAAGUGAUUAUAUUUCAGCUACUAUAUUGUAGAGGACCUUGUUUCUUGUUACCAUCUCCUGUACUUGCUCCGUACCUGUUGUGGGGAGAACAUUCUCUAAGGCAUCACCUUGCCCUAAGUAUUUUGUGCUGGAACCUCCAUAUUUUGAAGCAUUCCUUGUGAUUUUAUUCCAAGAGCUCUUCGAAGUAACUUCCCCUUUCCCUGGUAUCCAAGUCUUGGUUCUAUCCCUGAUCUGGGUGGAGCUUGGGAUUGAAGGACUUGCUCCUCGAAGCCUUUCUCCCUGGCUUAUGGCUCUAGAUCUUAUAGUAAUCUGCUUCCCUUCAUAGGGAUGGGACCCCUUGAAAUCUUUCACUUCGAGUUUUUCCUCUGGGACACAUAACUCUCCAGUUUCUACCCUCUCAUGUCUCCUCAUGGAGACAUCACCUAAACCCAGGGUAUUUACGGGGUUUUGGCAUGUAUUCUGGAAGCUAUGCAUCCAGGGUUUUGAAAGCAAGCUGACCUUGGCAGGGUGUACUGUACUAGGGACAACUGGAUCGUGUCUCACAGGCCAAUGCUGUGCCUGCUCCUUUGAUUUCAGGUCUAUCUUACUGUGUGAUUGUAGUUUUUGGACCGAGUCCUCUGAGGGCUGUAGGGUAGGUGUUUGCAGAUGACCAGGAUGUUUGUUGAGGUGUAAAGAUCCAAUGUCCCUGGCACUGAUAUCGAUAGCUUGGCCAUUGUGACUCUCACUGGAUCCCAGACUCACUGUCCAUGCAGAUGGCUCUUCUUUCACCUCCACUAUGUUGCUUGGUUUGGCUGCGGAGGGUGGGACAGUUUCAUCCUGACCAAGCACUAUUACAGGACAGCAGGGAUGAGCUGAGUCCUCAUACUGAAAUCUUCCUUGGUGGAUGCUUGUCAAUUUUUGUAUUGGUAUUUAUUUGGAGACUGCAUGUUUCACUUCAUUCCACAGUCGUGCUCUGCUGGGUUUUUGCCUGGAAGUAAAAAUCAAGUUGCUGAAUACUCAGAUAUGUCUGAAAUGGAUCUGCUCAGACUUUUGAGGGCCCAUGACUUGCAUCAGGUUAAGGUCCUCUUUGGUUCUCCUGCACCUCUGCAGCUGAGUUCUUCCACAGAGGACUCUCUAGCCUGGCAGUUGAGGCACUUUCUACACUUGUCCCUCCUGGGUCCUGGUGAUGCAAAUGUUCCAGGAUCAUGGCAGCCUUGGAAUAGUACUCCUCCUUGAAAUCACAGAUGGAUGAGGAUGGAAACACAACCUGGGGAAGGUUUGAGGCUGGAACUCCAGGUGUGGCGAGAUCGCUUGCCUCAAGGAAAUGCAGAUAUGGUUUCCUUCUGGGUUUGACUGGAAGUUCUAUACAAUUUGACUGUGGCUUCCUUUCAUUUUUUGAAUCAAGGCAGGUAUGAUUGUUAGCAGCCUUUACAAAAAAGCUGCUUUUCUGUCCUUAGUGUGGUAUUCCUAAAUUUCAGCCCCUUCUCAAGGUUGCUGAUGGAAGGACAAGGCAGGUGUUUGCCCCCUAAACCAGUGCCCUUCUUGAUGGUGGUAUAUUUUUCAUUCUUUUCUGUGACCUCCUGUAAGGGUACCUCCAUGGGCACAGUCCCCUUCAUUUUGUUCCACAUGUAGCUUGUGUGGUUGAGGAUGGAGUGCUGGGCAGGUUGGGAGAGUUGAGCCCUGCUCUUGCAAUAAUUAUCAGUUUUUGCUACAAAAUUUCCCUGUAGCUGGGUCAACUUUUAGGAUGAGAAGAAUGUGAUGGGGGUUCCUUGUUCUUGUCCCACAUUGGUUUCCUUUCCUUCAUUCUGUGGCCCCUCAUUCUUAUGGGCCAUCUGCCAAUGCUCCCAAGGGACGGAGCCUGACCUGACAGACUCAUUGUUUAGGGUCAAGUUUUGAGUGGGUUUCGUAAAGACUGCCUGAUGUUCUUGAAUCACCUUUGGUGUGUUUCCAAUACUGUCCAUGUUGACAAGCAUGGUUUUCCAUUAAUAGUGAUACAGGUAUACCUUUGUCAGUGGUAGGAUGUACUUUUCCAAAGGCCUGCCUCUUGAAAUAAGGAGGUGUUUUGAUUGGUGUAGAGCUUGGGAUGAUUUGCAUUAGUUGGGGCUUUGUCACAGCUUGGUGUCACAAGUUGUGCAGGCAAUGGCUGUUCUUGGGAACACUCUGGAGGUCCUUGCUCCCUGGAAGGAACUUGGGGAGCAGGGCGACAGGCAUCAUGAAACCUGAGGGUUUUGUGUUGUGCUAAGGAAGGGUUUCUGAGGAUGUUGGGAGCAGCCAAAACUGACUCAGAGAAAAGAGUGGAUAUGCCCCAGAAAAUGUGACUAAAUUCCUUGUGUAUAAGAUACUCCAAGCAAUUGAGAUGAGACAAUGGCUGAAAUAUCAGAAGGUGUUCCAUUUUCUGAAGACGGUUCAACCAGGGAUGUGGUGUGGAGUCCUGGAGAAGUUGCUCGCUAGAAGUGCAAAAGAUAGGACGCAAAAGCAUCAGCCCCCAUCAGAAGUACAAGAGGUCCACAACUCUGUGUAUCUAUGGCACAAAUAGCCAUAUAGGGCCUCAUCGCCUCCAUAAGCCCUGUCUCUUAGUGUGAUAUCCAAGAGGCCUGUCUUCCCAUCCCAACCUGCAAUCGCAUCUUCACUAUGAGGAUGCCCAGAACUUCCUCUCACAUUUUGGCGUGAAAAAUUCCACAGGACAAAUAUUUCUUACAUUUUCAUAGGUUGUGAUGGAGUCCUGGUCUCUUCCACAUUCUAUGCAGCAUCUCUGCAACCUGGAGAUGGUCAAGUAAAAAAUAUGAGGAAUGAGAACACCCAGGACUGAGGCGUCUCUCUCUUGACUCCCCAUGCUAAGAAUGGAAUGCUCAACUCCCAUAGUGCAAGGACAGAACACUGAGUGUGCACAAGGGGAAUGGAUGGAGUGUAUCUAUCCAUUAAAAAUUUCCUUCCCCCCUCCAUUCCUGUCAUUCCACUUACAAUAAGGUAAGGGUCACAGGUUCAGUUAUCUGAAAGAGAAUUGCAACUUAGAGAACUGAAGCUCCCUGCUUUCAGGCGGAUAUGUGAUUCCCCCAUAAGGGGCACAGAAUCACUCCAGUGCCUUGAACAACAUUCCCAUGUGCAGCACCCAUCCCAGGCCAACCACAGCUCCUUUCUAUCACAAAACCUAGGUGUUUUCUGAAUCUAUGUUCCUUCCCUGCAGCCACUCUUCUGUGCUGCAUGUCAUGUCUUUGGGAGCAUGUCUCUCAUCAUGACCCUGGUCACUCAGGGGCAGGUAGAUUUAAUAUCUCAACCCUGAGAAACAGUAGCCUACCUUUUAGAGUAGCGAUUUUCUUCCUGGUUUUUCUCUGCCUCAUCUUCACCUCAGGGCAACACUCAAGUAUGUCCUUCCGCCUAUCCCAUUCAGAGUAUUUCUGGAGAUUUCCCUUUACCUGUCUGUAGCUAGAUUUUAGGUAAUUUGUUGAUUCUUCUUACUUCCAUCCUUCUCCAGCUUUUUUGUCCCACCCAUUCUAUCCCCUAACACUAGAUAAAUGAGAAGGAACGAGGGGUAAGGGGGAGACAUUAUUCUUAGACUAUUUUCUGCUAUUUAUGGGGUAUGAUGUACUUGGUGAAGGUUUGAUCUUUACUGUCAGGAUAUCCAGGAAACCUUCUUUCUUCUGUUUGCACAACUAGUUAGCAAACCACAACCACCAGAAAGGUAUAGCAAUGCCCAACAAACGAGUACCCCCAAGCCUCACAAGGAUCUAGCUUUUAUAUACACUCCAAAAAGUUGCCAGAAUUCCAAAAGUCACAAGAACAAUGAAACUAUCUGCUGUUGACAAAUUCAUGCUCCUCCUUGAUCAUGUGACAAUACACUUACUGUGGACAAUCUGAAGCAGCCCCUUAUCACCCACCAGAGUUUAAAAAUAAAUUCUUAUAUUUAUGUUUUUUUAAUACCAGAAUUGUCACCACACUUCUAUGUCUAUGAAAACUUAGAGGAGCAGUUGUGACCAGACUGCCUUUCUAUUCCAUGUGAAAAAAGGCUCUCCUCACCUCUGUGAUGUCCUUUUCACUUUCACAUGGUGACACAGGGAGGUUCUUCAGGAAGGGAGUCAGUAGGAAAAAGAGCCCAGCUCCACACAGAAUGGCAAUGCUCAUGUCCAUUGCUGUGUCUAUAGUGCUGGGGCUCACCCAUGAGUAAAUAAUGCUAUUCAUCAGAUUGAAAAAUCUUUCCAUCUUCUGAAUCACAGUGCAGCUCACAGGCCACUGACCUGUGCUGUAAUGCAUGUCACUUUUCAAGGGGGCUCAGGCCACAUCACACAGCUGUGGUCUCCAUAUCACAAAGGGCUCCUGCCAGGGGAGAGGGUGCCAGUGCCCCUCCCCAGCCUUCAUGCCAGAGUUACCUGCUGUGUCUUUUCCCUUUCCCUUCUUCCUAAUCCUGUUGCUGUAUCAGGCACAAAUAGACCUCUGUCCUAAUUUUGUUCCUUCUUUUUGAGCAUCAGUCUUUCUUGGUGUAGGCAUAUAUUUUGCUCAACCUACUUUUAUAAGAUUUCACCCUCCCCUCUGACCCUCCACCCACCAGUGAAAGAGGAAUGUUAUUAGGAUAUGGGGGACAGGGAGCUGAUUGGAAAUAGUGCUUUUGGGACAUUCCAAUCUUCCUUGUACUCAGUCCAGUUCCCUAGUAAUCAACAAACAUGUGUUAGCAGCUUCAGUCCCCUCUACUCACAGGUGCCACACAUGAGUCAACAGGGUUAGUUUUAUUCAGAAGAAUCUGGGGGUAUCACAAAUGGGGUCCAAGUCUAAUGACAGAGCAAGAAUCCUCCAGGUUCUUUGGUGAGUCUUCUCAGAAGGAUCCACAGGAGGCAUUCAGCAAUGCAAUGUAAGGCAGACCAAAGUCAGAGAUCCCAUUGUCUCUAGGGUCAUAUUAAUGUUCCUUCUAAACAUCACGUGUCCCUUCAUGGGUUCAGUAUAGAAAAACAACCUUUUACCUGUGUUUGCUUUAGCCAAAUACUCUUUCAUGUGUCUGCUGAAGCAAAGCAUUCUUCAUGGUCAGCCCCAGCAAAUAUUAUCACCUUCCUGGGUCUCUGAAGAAACCACAAAUUUACGCUUUACCUUUUCUUCUGGAAGGAUAUCUUCCUGAGUCCAUCAGGUUCUUGGUUUUUGAGAAAAUGCACUUCUGUGUGGAACUCGUGUUUUUCUCUUAGGGAUUCUUUUUGGGGUUCUGCUUUUCUGUAGACUAAUAUUUGUCCAUUAUGUGAUCAUAGCUCUACUCCUGUCAGACAGUAAACUUCCAUUUUUCUCCUAGUUUUAGCUUUGUCAUUAUUUAAUAUAAUCACAUACAAUGUAGUUUGAUUGUCUUCAGGAAUAGAACGCUAAGGAUAAUAAAAUUCAUGUCCUAAUCAUUAGAAUGCAUGUGGGUAUGAACAAAAAUGCCAACCAACCAGAGCUUCCAGGGACUAAGCCUCUACCCAAAGACUAUACCUGGACUGACCCGGGGCUCCAACUGCAUAGGUAGCAAUGAAUAGCCCAAUAAGAGCAGCAGUUGAAGGGGAAGCCCUUGGUCCUGCCGAGGCUGGACCCCCCAGGGCAUGGGACUCUUGGGGGAAGGUCAGUAAUGGGGGGAGGAUGGGGAAGGGAACACCAUAUAGAAGGGGAGAUGGAGGGCUUAGGGGGUUGUUGGCCUGGAAACCGGGAAAGGGAAUAACAUUUGAAAUGUAAAUAAUAAAUAUCAAAUUUAAUAAAGAUGGGAACAAAGAUUGAAUGUGGGAAAAUCAGAACUAAAAUUUCUAUCAUAGGAGUGCCUAGUAAUGUUUUGCUUCUUUUCUUUAAACGUGCAAUCUUUUAAGUUAGCAAACUCUAAUAGCACCUUUGAUGGGUAAUAUUAUGUAUUUUACCUACCCAAUUGUCUUGUUGUUGUUGGUAGAACCACAAUCAACAUGGAUGUGCAGGUGUUUCCUUGUCAGGGUGUAGGUCACAUCCUUUGAGUCCAUUCUCAGAAACGGUAUCCCCGAGCCUGUGGCACUUCUGAUUUUAGGAACUUCUGUCGUUGUAAAAAUAUAAAAAUAAAAAAGUUUCGGUGUCUUUUAUUCCGCUUGGUCCAUACCGCGAUGCCCCAAGAUAUAUGCUAGAUAUCUUGGCAUAAACACAUCCCAUCUCCUCGGCCGGCCACCAAGUGUCUUUUGCAGUCACACACUUUCCUACACUCAAACCGUCCCAUAAAAGACAAUAACCUUUGACCGAAUGGUAACAUAUGAUUGCCCACUUUAACAUACAAAGCCCGGUACCAUCCAUCCCUUGAGAACAUUAAUAAGAACCUGUAAAUCCACAGAGCCAGGGCUUCACAUCAGCAUCAAUCAUCCUGCCACCGCUUGUUUCUCUCUCUCCCUCCUGCCUCUUCCUUUCUGUUCUCGUCUCCUCCUCUUCCUCCUAACUUCUCUGCAGCCCAUCUUUCCUUCUCCUCCAAUGACAGGACUCCUUCUAUCCUGUACCUGCCCCUCACAUGUACUUUACAAAUUCAAUGGGGAGAAGGUUCUGGUGAAGUCACCUGAUUCCUGAGUGUGUGAUUAGGCAGCUGUCCUUGGGGCAGUGGAAUUAGCAUCAAAAUACAGAUAACUCAGGGCAAACCACAACAAACUUCUAUACUGAUUUCUCUCACCAUUAUUGUGUGAGGUUCAAUGUGUAUUUUGGUCAAGUUUCCUUUACAACAGUGGGUGAGCACAUGGGCACCCUCACCUGUAAGAGGUGCUGUGUGCCUGUACUGUGUUUGGAGAUGGUGUAAGUGAGCAGCAGUAGCUGUGUCUUAGUACAAAAGCAAAAUAACAGAGAUGGGGCAUAGAGAGUGAAGACUCUGUAUCCGUCACAGGUAUGAAGAGUAUGCACAUACUUUGUAAGGCACCAUCUUCCCUGAACACAGAAGCAUGUGAUGUCAUCCAGUGGUAGGCGGUACAGUCUUCUUGAGCAUGCUCAGUGAAGGAGGGCCUUGUCAUCCUGAGUUUUCUCAGCUUAAGGCCGUGUCACCAAAGCACAGAGAUUUCUGGUAUGGGGCUGAUGUUGAGUUGUUCUAGCAGGAAAACCACCCCCUCUGUAACCUCACAACCCCAAUAGGCCGCAGAUUCAAAUGAUAAAAGAAGAGCACUGAUACCUCAAGUUGUCUCAACAGUCACACAUGUGCCCACAAGUUACACUAAAACACACACACACUCACACACACACACACACACACAGUCAUACACACACACAGACACACAUACACACACACACAUACACACACAGAAAGACAUACACACACACACACACACACUCACACACACAUUUGACACCUAGUCUCAUAAAGCCAUUGUUUUUGAUAGCUGAGUAAUAUUCCAUUGUGUAGAUGUAACCCAUUUUCUGUAUCCAUUCCUCUGUUGAAGGGCAUCUGGUUUCUUUCCAGCUUCUGGCUAUUAUAAAUAAGGCUGCUAAUGAUCAUAGUGGAACAUGUGUCUUUGUUGUAUUUUGGGGCAUCUUUUAGGUAUAUGCCCAAGAGAGGUAUAGCUGAAUCCUCGGGUGGUUCAAUGUCCAAUUUUCUGAGGAACCUCCAGUCUGAUUCCCAGAAUGUUUGUACCCGUCUGCAAUCCCACCAACAAUGGAGGAGUUUUCUUCUUUCUCCAUGUCCUCGCCAGCAUUGGCUGUCACAUGAGUUUUUGAUCUUAGCAAUCAUGAAUGGUGUGAGGUGGAAUCUCAGGUUUGUUUUGAUUUGCAUUUCCCUUAUGACUAAAGACGUUGAACAUUUCUUUAGGUGCUUCUCUGUCAUUCAGCAUUCCUCAGCUGUGAAUUCUUUGUUUAGCUCUGAACCCUAUUUUUUAUUAAUUACUGAUUUCUCUCACCAUUAUUGUGUGAGGUUCAAUGUGUAUUUUGGUCAAGUUUCCUUUACAACAGUGGGUGAGCACAUGGGCACCCUCACCUGUAAGAGGUGCUGUGUGCCUGUACUGUGUUUGGAGAUGGUGUAAGUGAGCAGCAGUAGCUCUGUCUUAGUACAAAAGCAAAAUAACAGAGAUGGGGCAUAGAGAGUGAAGACUCUGUGUUUUGUUCAGGAAAUUUUUUCCAGUGCCCAUGUGUUCCAGAUGCUUCCCUAGCUUUUCUUCUAUUAGUUUGAGUGUGUCUGGUUUGAUGUGGAGGUCCUUGAUCCACUUGGACUUAAGCUUUGUACAGGGUGAUAAGCAUGGAUCGAUCUGCAUUCUUCUACAUGUUGACCUCCAGUUGAACCAGCACCAUUUGCUGAAAAUGCUAUCUUUUUUCCAUUUGAUGGUUUUGGCUCCUUUGUCAAAAAUCAAGUGCCCAUAGGUGUGUGGGUUCAUUUCUGGGUCUUCAAUUCUGUUCCAUUGGUCUAUGUGUCUGUCUCUGUACUAAUACCAUGCAGUUUUUUAUCACUAUUGCUCUGUAAUACUGCUUGAGUUCAGGGAUAGUGAUUCCCCCUGAAGUCCUUUUAUUGUUGAGGAUAGUUUUAGCUAUCCUGGGUUUUUUGUUAUUCCAGAUGAAUUUGCAAAUUGUUCUGUCUAACUCUUUGAAGAAUUGGAUUGGUAUUUUGAUGGGGAUUGCAUUGAAUCUGUAGAUCGCUUUUGGUAAAAUGGCCAUUUUUACUAUAUUAAUCCUGCCAAUCCAUGAGCAUGGGAGAUCUUUCCAUCUUCUGAGGUCUUCUUCAAUUUCCUUCUUCAGUGUCUUGAAGUUCUUAUUGUACAAAUCUUUUACUUGCUUGGUUAAAGUCACACUGAGGUACUUUAUAUUAUUUGGGUCUAUUAUGAAGGGUGUUGUUUCUCUAAUUUCUUUCUCGGCUUGUUUCUCUUUUGUGUAGAGGAAGGCUACUGAUUUAUUUGAGUUAAUUUUAUACCCAGCCACUUUGCUGAAGUUGUUUAUCAGCUUUAGUAGUUCUCUGGUAGAACUUUUGGGAUCAUUUAAAUAUACUAUAAUAUCAUCUGCAAAUAGUGAUAUUUUCACUUCUUCUUUUCUGAUCUGUAUCCCCUUGACCUCCUUUUGUUGUCUGAUUGCUCUGGCUAGAACUUCAAGAACUAUAUUGAAUAAGUAGGGAGAGAGUGGGCAGCCUUGUCUAGUCCCUGAUUUUAGUGGGAUUGCUUCAAGUGUCUCUCCAUUUAGUUUCAUGUUAGCAACUGGUUUGCUGUAUAUGGCUUUUACUAUGCUUAGGUAUGGGCCUUGAAUUCCUAUUCUUUCCAGGACUUUUAUCAUGAAGGGGUGUUGAAUUUUGUCGAAUGCUUUCUCCGCCUCUAAUGAAAUGAUCAUGUGGUUUUGUUCUUUGAGUUUGUUUAUAUAAUGGAUCACGUUGAUGGUUUUCCGUAUAUUAAACCAUCCCUGCAUGCCUGUGAUGAAGCCUACUUGAUCAUGGUGGAUGAUUGUUUUGAUGUGCUCUUGGAUUCGAUUUGCCAGAAUUUUAUUGAGUAUUUUUGCGUCGAUAUUCAUAAGGGAAAUUGGUCUGAAGUUCUCUUUCUAUGUUAGGUCUUUGUGUAGUUUAGGUAUAAGAGUAAUUGUGGCUUCAUAGAACGAAUUCAGUAGUGAUCCAUCUGUUUCAAUUUUGUGGAAUAGUUUGGAUAAUAUUGGUAUGAGGUCUUCUAUGAAGGUCUGAUAGAAUUCUGCACUAAACCCGUUUGGACCUGGGCUCUUUUUGGUUGCGAGACCUUUAAUGACUGCUUCUAUUUCCUUAGGAGUUAUGGGGUUGUUUAACUGGUUUAUCUAUUCCUGAUUUAACUUCGGUACCUGGUAUCUGUCUAGGAAAUUGUCCAUUUCCUGCAGAUUUUCAAGUUUUGUUGAAUAUAGGCUUUUAUAGUAAGAUCUGAUGAUUUUUUGUAUUUCCUCUGAAUCUGUAGUUAUGUCUCCCUUUUCAUUUCUGAUUUUGUUAAUUUGGACGCACUCUCUGUGUCCUCUCGUUAGUCUGGCUACUGGUUUAUCUAUCUUGUUGAUUUUCUCAAAGAACCAACUUUUGGUUCUGUUGAUUCUUUCUAUGGUCCUUUUUGUUUCUACUUGGUUGAUUUCAGCUCUGAGUUUGAUUAUUUCCUGCCUUCUACUCCUCCUGGGUGUAUUUGCUUCUUUUUGUUCUAGGGCUUUUAGGUGUGCUGUCAAGCUGCUGACAUAUGCUCUUUCCUGUUUGUUUCUGCAGGCACUCAGCGCUAUGAGUUUUCCUCUCACCACAGCUUUCAUUGUGUCCCAUAAGUUUGGGUGUGUUGUACCUUCAUUUUCAUUAAAUUCUAAAAAGUUUUUAAUUUCUUUCUUUAUUUCUUCCUUGUCCAGGUUAUCAUUGAGUAGAGCAUUGUUCAAUUUCCACGUAUAUGUCGGCAUUCUUCCCUUAUUGUUAUUGAAGACCAGUUUUAGGCCGUGGUGGUCCCAUAGCACGCAUGGGAUUAUUUCUAUCUUUCUGUACCUGUUGAGGCCCGUUUUUGACCAAUUAUAUGGUCAAUUUUGGAUAAAGUACCAUGAGGAGCUGAGAAGAAGGUAUAUCCUUUUGCUUUAGGAUAGAAUGUUCUAUAAAUAUCUGUUAAGUCCAUUUGGCUCAUGACUUCUCUUAGUCUAUCUACGUCUCUGUUUAAUUUCUGUUUCCAUGAUCUGUCCAUUGAUGAGAGUGGGGUGUUGAAAUCUCCUACUAUUAUUGUGUGAGGUGCAAUGUGUGUUUUGAGCUUUAGUAAGGUUUCUUUUAUGUAUUUAGGUGCCCUUGUAUUUGGGGCAUAGAUAUUUAGAAUUGAGAGUUCAUCUUGGUGGAUUUUUUCUUUGAUGAAUAUGAAGUGUCCUUCCUUAUCUUUUUUGAUGACUUUUAGUUGAAAAUUGAUUUUAUUUGAUAUUAGAAUGGCUACUCCAGCUUGCUUCUUCUGACCAUUUGCUUGGAAAGUUGUUUUCCAGCCUUUCACUCUGAGGUAGUGUCUGUCUUUGUCUCUGAGGUGUGUUUCCUGUAGGCAGCAGAAUGCAGGGUCCUCGUUGCAUAUCCAGUUUGUUAAUGUAUGUCUUUUUAUUGGGGAGUUGAGGCCAUUGAUGUUGAGAGAUAUUAAGGAAUAGUGAUUAUUGCUUCCUGUUAUAUUCAUAUUUGGAUGUGAGGUUAUGUUUGUGUGCUUUUCUUCUCCUUGUUUUGUUGCCAAGACGAUUAGUUUCUUGCUUCUUCUAGGGUAUAGCUUGCCUCCUUAUGUUGGGCUUUACCAUUUAUUAUCCUUUGUAGUGCUGGAUUUGUAGAAAGAUAUUGUGUAAAUUUGGUUUUGUCAUGGAAUAUCUUGGUUUCUCCAUCUAUGUUAAUUGAGAGUUUUGCAGGAUACAGUAACCUGGGCUGGCAUUUGUGUUCUCUUAGGGUCUGUAUGACAUCUGUCCAGGAUCUUCUGGCCUUCAUAGUUUCUGGCGAAAAGUCUGGUGUGAUUCUGAUAGGUCUGCCGUUAUAUGUUACUUGACCUUUUUCCCUUACUGCUUUUAAUAUUCUUUCUUUAUUUUGUGCGUUUGGUGUUUUGACUAUUAUGUGACGGGAGGUGUUUCUUUUCUGGUCCAAUCUAUUUGGAGUUCUGUAGGCUUCUUGUAUGCCUAUGGGUAUCUCUUAUUUUAGGUUAGGGAAGUUUUCUUCUAUGAUUUUGUUGAAGAUAUUUACUGGUCCUUUGAGCUGGGAGUCUUCACUCUCUUCUAUCCCUAUUAUCCUUAGGUUUGAUCUUCUCAUUGAGUCCUGGACUUCCUGUAUGUUUUUCUGCUUUACAUUAUCUUUGACAGUUGAGUCAAUGAUUUCUAUGGAAUCUUCUGCUCCUGAGAUUCUCUCUUCCAUCUCUUGUAUUCUGUUGGUGAAGCUUGUAUCUACAGCUCCUUGUCUCUUCUUUUGGUUUUCUAUAUCCAGGGUUGUUUCCAAGUGUUCUUCUUGAUUGCUUCUAUUUCCAUUUUUAAUUCCUUCAACUGUUUGAUUGUGUUUUCCUGGAAUUCUUUCAGGAAUUUUCGUGACUCCUCUCUAUGGGCUUCUACUUGUUUAUUUAUGAUUUCCUGGAAUUCUUUCAGGGAUUUUUGUGAUUCCUCUCUGUAGGCUUCUACUUGUUCUCUAAGGGAGUUCUUCACGUCUUUCUUGAAGUCCUCCAGCAUCAUGAUCAAAUAUGAUUUUGAAACUAGAUCUUGCUUUUCUGGUGUGUUUGGAUAUUCCGUGUUUGCUUUGGUGGGAGAAUUGGGCUCCGAUGAUGCCAUGUAGUCUUGGUUACUGUUGCUUGGGUUCCUGCGCUUGCCUCUCGCCAUCAGAUUAUCUCUAGUGUUACUUUGUUCUGCUAUUUCUGACAGUGGCUAGACUGUCCUAUAAGCCUGUGUGUCAGGUGUGCUGUAGACGUGUUUUCCUGUUUUCUUUCAGCCAGUUAUGGGGACAGAGUGUUCUGCUUUCGGGCGUGUAGUUUUUCCUAUCUACAGGCCUUCAGCUGUUCCUGUGGGCCUGUGUCUGGUGUUCACCAGGCAGGUCACUUGCAGCAGAAAAGUUGGUCUUACCUGUGGUCCCGAGGCUCAAGUUUGCUCGUGGGGUGCUGCCUCUGAGCUAUCCGUGGCGGCAGCAACCAGGAAGAUCUGCACCGCCGUUUCCGGGAGCCUCCGUGCACCAGGGUUCUAGAUGGCGUUUGUUGUUUUUCUCUGGCGUCAGAGAUGUGUGCAGACUGCAGUCUCUUCUGGUUUCCGAGGCGUGUCUGCAUCUCUGUAGGUUUAGCUCUCCCUCCCAUGGGAUUUGGGUGCAGAGAACUGUUUAUCUGGUCUGUCCCUUCAGGUUCCUGCGGUGUCUCAGGCGCAGGGGUCCUGCCGCUCCUGGGCCCUCCCCCACGGGAACCCAGAGGCCGUAUACAGUUUCCUCUUGGGCCAGGGAUGUGGGCAGGGGUGGGCAGUGUUGGUGGUCUCUUCCGCUUUGCAGCCCCAGGAGUGCCCACCUGACCAGGUGGUGAGGUCUCUCUCCCACGGGAUUUGGGAGCAGAGAGCUGCUGUGAGCCGGGAUCCUCGGGUUUGGGACUCCCGGUAAACACUGGAAGUGCCCGGUCCUAGAGGAAUUUUGCCUCUGUGUGUCCUGAGUUCACCAGGCAGGUCUCUUGCAGCAGAAAAGUUGGUCUUACCUGUGGUCCCGAGUCUCAAGUUUGCUCGUGGGGUGCUGCCUACGAGCUCUCCGCGGCAGCAGCAACCAUGAACGCAUCUUGGAUCUUGAAAUAUGUGAUGUGUGUGUUUUUUGUGGGUGUGUGAAUAUGAAUGUUCGUACAUGACUAUGUGAGUUUCUUUGUGGCUGUGUGUGUGUGUGUGUGUGUGUGUGUGUGUGUGUUUGUGUUUCUGUGCAUGAGUGUGUGUGUGUGGAGCACUUUAGCUCCUCUCUAACACUCUUCUUAGAGAACAAUAUAUCUGCCAUCUUCAGUGACCCUUGUGUUAAGGCGUUGUGGCCAGCACUUUCCACAAAGUUUUGUUUUAAUUUUGUCCUCUUAUUCCUCCUCUUCUUUCUCCUCCUGUUCCCUCCUCCUCUUCCUCCCCUUCCUCAUCUUCUUCUUCCUUCUCCUGUAGUUCUAUGCAUGCUAACCAGUGCUCUUCCACAAUCCAUAGUUCCCUAUUUAGAUAUAAAAUUAAAAUUGCAUGUGAAGUAUGGAAGCCAGUGCUAUAUUUCCACUUAGAAAUGUGACCAACUUAUCACUAUGAUUAUUAAAUUUGCAGGGUUUUCACACGCUCGUUGUAAAUGAUAACCAUUGCUUCAUGAUAUCCUUUUAAUAAUCAUAUAAGUAUAUUUAAUGAAUAUUGUAUGCAUGGAGUUGGGUCUAACCGCAGCCAUCACCAUGUGGAAGCUCCACUUUAUGGGUCACUAUCCUCCCAGUACUCUCUCUUAGACUUUGAAAAAUCUAGGCUGACAUGCCAUGGGUGACAGACAGGAGCUGUGCCACUGAGUCAUCCUCUGUACCUCAAAUAAGAGUGCUUAGUCAUCGUCAGUGUUUAUAUAUGCUGGAACAAGGACAUUUAUUUAAAGACGGGGCUUCAUGUGUCACAAGCUGACCUAAAGUCUCUAAAGUAUGGGAAGAUGACCUUGAAAACUUGGAUGUCAGAUCCUCCUGUCUCCUCUGGGAGCUGGGAUCACAGGCUUGUGCCACAAGCAUGGCAUGUGUGACGCACAGAAUGGAAUACAGUGGCUCCAAACUCCCGCUUCAUCCUGUUGAGAACUGUCAAAGCGUAGCUUUUUAUCAUCAAUCACCUGCCUGUUGAGGUCCUCAUCUCUGGAACAAGUGAAAAACUCACAUUUAUUUGCCAGUGGUAGCUGUUGUUAAUAGCUCUUGCCAGUCCUGAAUAUCUGACCACAUGAGAGGUGGAGGCAGGAUGAUCAGGAGUUCAAGGCCAGCUUCAGCCAUAUAGCAAAAUAGAGGCCAGCUUGGUCUAUAUUAAAUCCUUCUUGAACAAAACCAUAUAGACACCAAGGUGUAACCACUCUGAAAAUCAGUAUGGAGAACUCUUGGGAAGCAGAGAACACAGGCAGAUGUGACAAAGCCAUACCACCCACUGAUUUACUCCCCCAAAGAAUGGGCAUCCUACUUCCCUAAGUCGUUCCCUGGCAAGUGUAUUGUGCACUCCCCCCUCUCUAGUGGAGUCACCCCAGAAAAGAGGAAAGUACAAAGGAUGUUGGAGGUGGAGGGUAGUGGAGGAGGGGAUAGUAAGAUACAGUUGCCUAAAACGGGAAACAGCAAGAACUAUGAAAGGGGUUGUGACAGUCUCUGAGGAUGAGCGAGGGAGGGAUAGAAACAGCAAGAGAGAAUGGCAUCAAGGAUGAUAGGAAAACCAGAGGAACAUUAUUUUCUGUUUAUGUAAAGAUACAUAAAGGACAAUGGGGACACACAGACAGCACCCAUCCCUGCACACUGCACACACAUUCUGAACACUCCCAGAUUUCAUGGUCCUCAUUUCUGUUCAGUGUGCAGGAUUCAGGCCAUGUGCUCCUACUAGCAUCCCGCCUCCACGUUGUCCAAAACACAGAAUCCCUGAGUUUUUCAGCAAACUCCCUGUGCAUGAGCUUUCAGUAUUUAAGGGUGAAGAUGAAUUUUGUGUGCUUGAGAGCAAAGAAAUCCUUUUUACUAGAGCAAUGGAGAACCACAGACAGAGGCAGCAGCUUGUCUGCCCAAUGAGUGAGCAUUGGCAUUAGUGACAUCAAUUCUCCUUCCAGCACUUGCUGUCCUCACCUUGAGCAUUCUCCAGGAUAUACAGUGCACUGCAGUUGCAGAGGUGUUGAGGGGAAUUGUGGGACUGCUUGUCACCCAGAUAAGUUGAAGACUUCUCUUGUGCACAGGCAAGUAAUCCUGGUUGACACCACAAUUCUCUGAAUCCUGGUGUGGCUCCAUGACAGUUCGUGGCCCUCUUGAUUUCCAAGUCUUCCAUAAAGAACCAAAUUCUGUUUCCUCAUCUGCAUUCAGCAACCUCAUUUCAGGAAUGUAUUGAAAUGAAUCAGUGAUUUGCUGGUAGGAAGUUUGCAGAGAAGCAGUCUACAGUGGACCCUGAGGAAAGAGGCAGAUUCAAAGGAGAAGAAGCAGAAUCCCCAGGCUGAGUGGAAAGUGGCAAUAUGGCCAACUUCCCAGCUUCUGAGGAGUUGGGGAAAUGUGAGUCUGCAUUGCAUGCUCGGCCCUAGAUUUACUCUCCUUCCCACGUUUAACUUUGUGGUGGAUGAAUUUAAAUUUAAGCACUCCCAUGAGGUCAUCCCCUCUCUGGCACGGCCAUAUUUUGGCAACACCUUGGUAAGGAUGCUUGUGGAAGCUCAAUACUGUUUCCCUGAUGGGAUUUCCACAUCUUCCUGACUUGCCACCUCAUUCUAGAAUAUUCCUGCAACUGGAGAAUCUGAGGAAGAAUGUCUUUGCCAGUAUUCUCCUCUGUGCAACCAACAACAGCUGCUCCACUUCUGGGUGUGGGUCUCCCUGGAGUGAGAGACCCCCUUGCCACUGAGUCUAGAUUAACAUGUGUACCAUGAAUCACACUCAUGGCAGAAUAUGGACUCUGAAAGCCAAGUCUGGUUUGCAAAUAUUUUUCCUGGGAAGGGGACUUCCAAAUUGAGGAUAGAGCCUUUAAUCAAGGCAACAUCAUCAAGAGAACCUGUCUGGGAAUUGCAGGGCUGUCUACACUCACUGUGGUGCUUUGAAUAGGUUUUCCCCCUUAGACACUUGUGUUUGAAUGCUUGGCCUACAGAGAGUUACAUUACUAGGAAGCGUGACCUUUCUGGAUUAGGUGGCCUUGUUAGAAGAGGUAUGACACUUUAUCAAUUGGCUUUGAGACCCUCUCUCUACUUGCACCAGUCUUCUCCCAGCUGCCUUCUGAUCCAGACACGAAACUCUCAGCAACUUUCCCAGUACCAUGCCUUCUGGAAGAUGCCUUACUUCUGGGCUUGAUGAUAAUGGACUGAACCUCUGAAACUGUAAGCCAGCCCCCUUGGUCAUUGACACCCCACACAUACACACACAAACACACACACACACACACACACACACACACACACACACAAACACACAGAGCGUGAGAGAGACAGGGAGAGAGCGAGACAGACAGACUGACAGACAGACAGACAUGCACACACAAUUUGUGUGUCCAAGUGUAUAUAUAAUCUAAAAAGUGUUUUGUCAAUUUGGUUGAUACUGAUUCUGCCAAGAGACACGAUAAAAACUGUCCUGAUGCCUGGGAAAUCUUCCUUUGUAUGACACAUAAGAGUUUGAAGAUUUUCCCAAACAAGAUGCAAUGCUACCAUCGCUCCUCCGUGUGUACCAGAGUUUGAAGGUCAAACCCUGUAGUUAUUAUGUAGACACACAAAUGCAAAAAUAAAGAAAUAAUGCGUUGGGUAGAGGAUGGGAGAACCCGAGGGCCAUGACUGAAGUAGAUGCAGUUGUCCUGUAUGAAGUUGUCAAAAAUAUAUGAAAUCAUUAAACUAGAUGAAACCAAAAAUGGAAAGUUUGGAAGAAACAUAAAUAGUACACAGGACCAUGAGGACGAGUUAGCAAGUGAUUGAAACUAUUUUCCAAAACUAAUUGAGAAAUCCUGAAAACACUUGGGGAAAUUGCUACAGCAGAAAAAAAAAUCUGGAUUAAAAUUAUCCAUCACAUAAGUAUUGCAAAGAAUGACAGGAAAAGGCAGAGGAAAAGCCAUUUAAUUUUAAGAUAUUUUGAGAGGAAAAUCAAGUAUGAGAAGCCUCGACUAUUUUACGAUGGAGUUCACUUUGGAGUUCACUAACUAAUGGUGUUAGCACACAGGGAAGCACAGGCAUUAAGGAAGAGCCCCUCUCUGAGGUAAAGGCUGUACACACUCCAGACAUAGACACUGCUUGAAAGAGACUCACUCAUUAUUUUAGACCGUGUGCUUCCUGAAGACAGGAAUUCCUUCAGUCUUGUUGCCCUCUGAACCCAAAGGUGAUCCCUAGUGAAAACUGAACAAUCAUGGACUGAAUACCUAACUGAAGUCCCUUGUACUAGGGAGGACAGACAGCUGGGAGCAAACCCAAAACCUGACCUUAGGAAAUAAAUCAGUAUUUCAGGACCUGGGAAAGGAAGUGCAAUCCUGACUUGUCCUGCUGAGGUAGGAGGUGGGAUUGGGGGAGGUGCACCCUAGCUGUCACAUCUCUGGAAAGGAAGCUCAAAGCAGGCUAAUGACUUUCCUUACCCCUGCUGUAAUACUAUUGCCCACCCUAUGGUCUGAAUGUGAGUCUUCUCACUAGAGAGCAGGAGUCACGUGAUUUCAAUAUGACCAUUCAGGAGAGUCCUGGUUGACUAGCCAGUCUGAUUGGCCAAGUUGUGGACAUGUGACCAAUUAAGUCAUAGUUACAGUUGGUGCAGGGUGGCUGAGACAGUUGGUAACUGGCCUGCUAUCAUUGAGGUUAAGGUUUCACUCUGGCACUCCAGAGGCAGAGACAGUAUGCUGAGGCAGUGUGUGACACCAUGAUUAGAGGACAGCGGCUCUUGUCUACUCCUCAAACACCCAGGCUUCCUCCAGUGGCUGGAAUUUACCUACUAGCUCUACGCUCUGUCAGCAUGCAGCAGCACCAGCCAUGAUGUCAUGGUCAAACUGGUCAAGCAUGGCACCCUAUCCCAGCUCCUGACUUUGUAUUUGCAUCAUGUCCUGGAUCCUUGACCACCAGCAGCAGCAAAUGGUGCAACGACCUUUCUGAACAAGAUGUGAAAGUGUUUCCGCUGAGCCUUGAGAGGUGAACAUAUAUUGUCCCUGUCAUCUGGACGGAACAACUUGAGGAAGGGCCAUCCAUAUUCCCGCUCCCUAACCAGGACACUGCUAAGCCUGCGUGCCUGGUCUCCUUCAUAUGAGCCGGUGCUUCUUAACCUUCGUAACUCUGCAGCCAUUUAAUGCAGGUAUUCAUGUUGUGGUGACCUCCACACCCCUACACACAACCAUAAAAUUACCUUACUGCUACUUCCAAGCUUCCUAGUUUUCUACUGCUAUGAAUAAUAUUGUAACUAUCUGAGAUGCAGGAUAUCUGAUAUAUAAGCCCCAAAGUGGUUGUGAUCCUCAUUGAGGACCAACUCUCAGAGCAGCUCGUGCAGGGUUGUCAGCUUGGCUGAUCCCCUGACACCUGAGAGGGCCUGGUGUCCAAGGGUGGCUCACAGCUCCCUGCCACAAUGCUCUCUCCUCUGUGAUGAGACAGCUGUACUGCAGCAGUGUGAUGAUGCAGGGAUAUUUUUAGGUCCAUUUCCUUCUUUUCCCUGAGUCUUGGAGCUUCAAUGCUUGUGGUGCACAGAUCAAGUGUAGAGGACAUUAGCCAGCCUGUGCACUCCAGGCUUUGGUUAUCUAAGAUUCACUAUUCUUGUGUGAGACCAGAGGCAAAUUCCCGGGAGGAGCCAUAAACAGGUCUCUCAAAAAGCACCUAAACGGUAAUAGUUGGGCCUCCUUAGGGCCCUCAAACAGGAUUUGAGCUGAGGGUUUCUGUCCACUGGUGGUCAAGGCAGAUCGGCAGUGCAGUGUUAGACUCCAGUCAGGUCAGCUCAUGUCCAAACAGGAUGCAAAGAAGGUGUCAGAAGCCUCAAGACCCUUCAGGUACUUUCUGCUUCCCCUUUCCUCCAACAAAGUUUUUAUCUAUGGGUGUAUUUAGACCCCUGUGCAUAUUUAAAUAAUAUAUACUAUAUGCCAUAAUUAUAUAUAUAAACAUUUAGACUUAAUUCAUGGUAAAAUGGGCUUUUAAUAAAAGGACACCUCUGUCAUUCAUGUGCUCGCUCUGAGGGAGGCAUAGGUUACAGAGACAGGAGAGAUGUGAGUCUAUUGUGCUAGGUCCACUUGUGUUUUAAGUGUGAAUCAGUUUUCCUUGCUCACUCCCUAAAUUCUGGGUGGUUGAUCUUACACUGUGUCUCGUCUGGGUUCUUCUC